GGUUGGGGUGUUGGAGGGAGUGAGGGCUCCAGCUGGGGGUGCGGGAUCUGGAGCAGGGCUGGGGAUGAGGGGAUUGGGGUGCAGGAGUGGGCAACAGCCUCACGCAGGGGUGGGAGAGGGUCCCAGCAACUGACAACAGCAUUGGGAGGCGGUAGCACCGAAGUGCCUAGGAGCUCCAGUCAUGGACCAGGACUGCAUUGUGCUAGGUGCUGUACAAACACGGAACAGCAGGACCUGACCCAAGGAGCUUACAGCCUAAGCAUAGGACAAGAGACAGACACACGUGGGAGUAUAAGGAAGCAAUGAGACAAUAUCGGUCAGCACGUUAAGAAAUCCUUGAUUAGUUUACUAUACGAUUGGCUACAAGCAUUGUCAGUGGUGUGAGAUCCGAGGUACAAACUGAUCUAAGCAAAAUGGCUUACAAGGGAGAUAACAGUACAUAGUUUUAUGCACAGCCACAAGUGGCUGGAAUUUUGGGGCCUGAUUUUCUUCCCACAUGCCCUGGAGUAAACAAAAAGUCGCUCCACUGAAAUCCACUGAGCCAGGUUCUCGGCGGGUGCAAAUUGCUGUCGCUCCAUUGAAGGCAAUGGGACUCUGCUGAACUCCCUGGCUGAAGAUCUGGCCCAACUGAGGUGCACCUGUGAAUAUACCUGUUGAACAAUCAAAGGAGUUGCUCCAUUCCUAUGGAC